GCGCCCUUAGCUCAGCUGGUAGAGCACCUGACUCUUAAUCAGGGUGUCGUAGGUUCGAAACCUACAGGGCGUACCA
rnacentral:tRNA from 1 species